rnacentral:rRNA from 2 species
GCAAGCGUUAAUCGGAAUUACUGGGCGUAAAGCGCACGCAGGCGGUCUGUCAAGUCGGAUGUGAAAUCCCCGGGCUCAACCUGGGAACUGCAUUCGAAACUGGCAGGCUUGAGUCUUGUAGAGGGGGGUAGAAUUCCAGGUGUAGCGGUGAAAUGCGUAGAGAUCUGGAGGAAUACCGGUGGCGAAGGCGGCCCCCUGGACAAAGACUGACGCUCAGGUGCGAAAGCGUGGGGAGCAAACAGGAUUAGAUACCCUGGUAGUCCACGCCGUAAACGAUGUCUACUUGGAGGUUGUGCCCUUGAGGCGUGGCUUCCGGAGCUAACGCGUUAAGUAGACCGCCUGGGGAGUACGGCCGCAAGGUUAAAACUCAAAUGAAUUGACGGGGGCCCGCACAAGCGGUGGAGCAUGUGGUUUAAUUCGAUGCAACGCGAAGAACC